AACAUCGCGCACCUGCGGGAACCUGCGGAAGGAUCAUUAUCGAGUUUACAACUCCCAAACCCCUGUGAACAUACCAAUCGUUGCCUCGGCGGGACCGCCCCGGCGCCCCCGGGCCCGGACCCAGGCGCCCGCCGGAGGACCCCCAAACUCACUUGAUUCCACGGUGUAUCUUCUGAGUGACACAAGCAAAUAAAAUCAAAACUUUCAACAAUGGAUCU
rnacentral:misc_RNA from 1 species